rnacentral:rRNA from 1 species
GUGAGGAAUAUUGGUCAAUGGGCAGACGCCUGAACCAGCCAAGUCGCGUGAGGGAAGACGGUCCUAUGGAUUGUAAACCUCUUUUGUCAGGGAGCAAGCGCCUCCACGUGUGGGGGCAGGGAGAGUACCUGAAGAAAAAGCAUCGGCUAACUCCGUGCCAGCAGCCGCGGUAAUACGGAGGAUGCGAGCGUUAUCCGGAUUUAUUGGGUUUAAAGGGUGCGUAGGCGGAACGCCAAGUCAGCGGUAAAAUUUCGGGGCUCAACCCCGUCGUGCCGUUGAAACUGGUGUCCUUGAGUGGGCGAGAAGUAUGCGGAAUGCGUGGUGUAGCGGUGAAAUGCAUAGAUAUCACGCAGAACCCCGAUUGCGAAGGCAGCAUACCGGCGCCCGACUGACGCUGAGGCACGAAAGUGCGGGUAUCGAACAGGAUUAGAAACCCCUGUAGUCC